UCAAGAUAAGAUUUCCAAACGCAAGGGUAAGACCCCAGAAAGACUAUCUGGUUGAUAGGUCGAAGGUGUAAGUGCAGCAAUGUAUUUAGCUUAUCGAUACUAAUAGGUCGAGGACUUGACCAAUAUU
rnacentral:rRNA from 1 species